AGAGUUUGAUCCUGGCUCAGAACAAACGCUGGCGGCGUGCCUAACACAUGCAAGUCGUACGAGAAAGGGUCCUUCGGGACCUGAGUAAAGUGGCGCACGGGUGAGUAACGCGUGGAUAAUCUGCCCUUCAGUUGGUAACAACUCAUCGAAAGGUGGGCUAAUACCGAAUAACACUGCGAGACCUGGGUCGAACAGUCAAAGAGAGCCUCUGCUUGCAAGCCCUCGCUGAAGGAUGAGUCCGCGUACCAUUAGCUGGUUGGUAGGGUAAUGGCCUACCAAGGCGACGAUGGUUAGCUGGUCUGAGAGGAUGAUCAGCCACACUGGAACUGAGACACGGUCCAGACUCCUACGGGAGGCAGCAGUGAGGAAUCUUGCGCAAUGGGGGAAACCCUGACGCAGCAACGCCGCGUGAGUGAGGAAGGCCUUCGGGUCGUAAACCUCUGUCAGUUGGAAAGAAAUGUCCAGAGGUCAAUACCCUUCGGACUGACGUACC
rnacentral:rRNA from 1 species